UUCUCACUGGUUGCUUCGGCUCUCUCUUCCUCUUCCCUUUCUUCAUUCUUAUUUCCGUUCAAGGGCCACAACGCCGGCGUACCUCACACCUCCUCCCUUAGGCGACACUGGUAGGAGCUCCAGGCGGCAAGGACACCAUCAGUGGGCGAAGCAGCCGCGUUUUUCGACAAUGGCAGCAGCUCUAACGGCAGGCGAAGAGAGAGAAAUGCUAAAACUUCUCCGGUCAAUUCCGGGCUAUUCUAACCUCAAUUUCAUGUGAGACGAGUGGCUAUGGACUCCUGACGAAACGGGCUCCCUUUUCUGAUCAUCGGUGUCGCAAACCAUCAUCGGAUUUGCCCAAAUCGAGGAGAGAGAAAAAUGAGCAUUUUCGACCUUUUCGACCACUUUUCCGGCGAUUUGACCGUUGGAUCGAAAAUCUGAGACCACCAAUGGACUCAGGCCGACGAAAUCUUCGAGAUAGGACUGGUCUCGCUCCGAUCGAACAUCAUUUGAAAAAGGCGAUAAUCGGACAGUCCAAAUCGCUUUGUGCAACCGGAUCGAGGAUAGCUCACUAGAGUCGGGAUCACAUUUUCAGCCGGAUCCGACAGCCCGUCUCAGAACGUGAUUGAUAUUAUAGUCAAUUCUAACAUUUUUAAACAUUCUGGACGCGUUCCAAGUGUCAGAAUUGAUAUAGGUAAAUCCGAACUCCAAGUUGCUUAUUUCCGGCUAAUACCGAUUUAAAAUAAAAUUCAUAAAAUAU
rnacentral:misc_RNA from 1 species